GGGAUGGAUACAACCGCCAAGAUGCAGAGUGGUUGUCGACGGCGGUGGUUUGCUGCCAAGCUGCAGGUAAAAACAGCAGCAUGUUUACAGGUGCAUGUAUCAGUUGUAGGCUACUAGAAGAUGUGUGUGACGUAGAUCACUAAUGAUGGUGCACAGAUGACUUGAUUAAAUUUAGCAAAAGAAGUUGUCAUUGCAAAUCUCUUGAUAGACAUGCUAUUUGCUAAUGGUCGGCGUGCUUCAGUGGUAGUUAGUGCAAUAGCAAGGUCGUGAGCGUGGUUGCAAAUUAUGCACUGCUCCUGCUGGUUACAAGCCUUCAUCUCUACAAAAAUAUGCAGUGAGGUUGCUUGGUUCCUGACAGGGAUUGAUGUAGUUUGCUUCCCGUCAGAGAUUGAAGUUCCUAGGAGAUUACUAUCGAGAAACUCAGAUACUGGUGGCAUCCGAUGGGACAAAUUCGGCUGGUCUCUAUCCGAGAGGAGAGAUCCGGGGAAUGUGUGUUGAGGCUCUCAUCAUGUUGGUAUAUUGUGAAUGUUCCAUCAAGUUGUGGAUGGCUCUGAGGCAUGUGACACCAAUGAUAGAUACUCCUGCCGUGUCAUGAAGCAUUAAGUGCUACAAAAAUAUUUCACAGGGGUGUGUUCUUCCUACUAUAAAGCAACAUGGAUUUCUUUAAAUUAAAUUGUGCAUAUUGUGGAAAAUAAAUCUUCUGUGUCCAUAGUCAUGUUCAUCUGUCACCAGUCCAUGGUGAAAUAAACAGGAGAAUACAUGCUUGCAGAAGUUGUCAAGAGGCUCCAUUUAACCAUCAAAGACCAUGAGACCUACCAAUCGAGUGAUAGAGAUGGACACAAUCUCUCCUUGUGGAAGAACAAUGUAUCAAUUGCCAACAAAUCCAAACAUUUCAUCCUAUCUUACCAUGUAGUACUAACUUAACUGCAAUGUAUCGCUUGUGUCAAAAACUAUUUGAAUCGCGUAUUUGGCUAUCUAUGAUAUCAAAUCUUUAUGUUCUUUCAAUAUCAUGUACACUCGAAAGCAAGGCCAUUAUAUGAUAAAAA